ensembl:lncRNA
GAAUUAUGCUUCCAAAAACAUUUUAAGUCCCAAUUUAAUUCACUCUUUCUGGUUUUGUUCCCAAGAAGAAUAAAGUUAAGUCAUGUGUUGUGAGCAACUUUCUUCAAAAUAGCCUGCCAGUAUUUCUCCUCUGUUGGGUAAAACCAGCAGGUGACUCAUAUCACUGGGCAAGCUGAUGAUUAUUUUCAUAUUUUCUUUCUCUGAUAAGAGACCCAGAACAGGGUUUCCCUUUAUGCCUGGAAGGCUGGGGAAUGCAGUGAAGUGUCUGAGUCUGUGGAAGUUCCAUAGUGGACGGGGAAGGAAUUAUUACCAUGUUCACAAUUUGCCAGUGUGGUAACAACAGAUUAGAAAGCAUCUUUGCAAAAAUCUGUCAGUAAAAAAGCAUGCAGCUUCCCAAUGGACGAAUGGACAAAUACAAUUGGAUAAUAUAUACAAUGGAAUAUUAGCCUGAAAAGGAAGAUGAUUCUGACAUAUGCUGUAACAUGAAUGAAUCUUGAGGAUUCACUUAUGCUAAGUGAAAUAAGCAAGCCACAGUGGAAAAUACUGUAUGAUUUCACUUACAAGAGGUAUGUAAAGAAGUUAAAGUCUUUAAAACAGAAGCCAGAAAGAUGACUGACAGGGGUAGCAGAAAGGAAGUUGGUUAACGGGUAUAAUCUGGACAUCUAUUGUAUGACAAUGUGAUUAUGCUUGCAAACUGUUGA